rnacentral:misc_RNA from 1 species
ACACCCCUCAAGCUUGCUUGGUCUUGGGGCUCGCGUCUUCGCGGCCCUUAAAAUCAGUGGCGGUGCCGUCCGGCUCUCAGCGUAGUAAUUUUUCUCGCUCGUGGGUCGUCCGGUAACGCUGACAACUACUUUCAU